GAAGCCAGCCAUACCACCCUGAACAUGCCUGAUCUCGUCUAAUCUCGGAAGCUAAACAGGGUCGGGCCUGGUUAGUACUUGGAUGGGAGAAGCCAGGGGACAUUGUUCU
ensembl:rRNA 5S_rRNA 5S ribosomal RNA